CCAUUUUUGGUAAGCAGA
rnacentral:snRNA from 1 species